AGAUGCAAGAUCCGCGCCCCGGGGCUGAAGGGAACGGCGGGAUGGGGUGGGGCUCUGCCUGGCGCGCCUGGGCGGAGUGCUUGGGCUGGAAGGGAUCCUGCCUGCGAUCCCGAAGUCCAGGCGUGGGAGCCAGCGAUCUGCCCACGACCCCAAAGUGAGGCCACUCCACGGCCUCUGGGGCAAAUGCCUGUUAUUCUAGGCAGCCGGUCCCCAGAAGCUGGAAAGUACGUAAAAGUGCCAGAAGCUCCCAUGCUGAAAACUAAACAAAAGGAAUAGUUCAUAUAGCGGCAAAGCUGGAAAGUAUCUGGACAGUUAUCUACCAUCCUCCCUUUUUGUUUGUUGUUUUUUUGUUUUUCUGGGUUUUUUUGUUUUUUUUGUUUUUUUUUUUUUUUUUUGAGAUGGAGUUUCGCUUUUGUUGCCCAGGCUGGAGUGCAAUGGCGCGAUCUCGGCUAUGUCACGUGCAACCUGCAACCUCCACAUCCCGGGUUCAAGAGUUUAUCCUGCCUCAGCCUCCCGAGUAGCUGGAAUUAUAGGCAGGCGCCACGAUGCCCGGCUAAUUUUUGUAUUUUUAGUAGACAUGGGGUUUCGCCAUGUUGGCCAAGCUGGUCUCAAACUCCUGACCUCAGGUGAUCCGCCUGCCUCGGCUUCCCAAAGUGCUGGGAUUACAGGGGUGAGCCACCAUGCCCAACUUGUUUUUUGUUUGUUUGCUUGCUUGCUUGUUUGCUUGUUUGUUUUGAGACAGGGUCUCGCUCUGUCUCCCAGACUGGAGAGCAGUGGCACCAUCUCAGCUCACUGCAACCUCUGCCUCCCAGGUUCAAGAAAUUCUCCUGCCUCUGCCUCCACACCCGUCUAAUUUUUUGUUGUUGUUGUACUUUUUUUUUUUUUUUUUUGUAUAUUUAGUAGAGAUGGGGUUUCACGGUGUUGGCCAGGCCGGUCUUCAACUCCUGACCUCAAAUGAUCUGUCCACCUCAGCCUCCCAAAGUGCUGGGAUUACAGGUGUGAGCCACCGUGCCCGGCCCCAUCCUCCUUUUUAAUAGGCUUAAAAAAUAAAACCAAGGACCAAUGAUUUAAGUGAGGGACUCCAGAGGCCACAGAUGACAGUCAAAACGAAGUGAAAUUGACAUUCGUUGUUGAUUUUCACGUCAUAAAAUUAUAAUUUAAAUAUUAAUUUAUAAUACUAUUUUAUACAAUUUAGUCAGUAUUGUAAAAGUGCCUAAAAACUACUUAAAGAUGGUGUCUUCUUGCAAACCUGUAAAUAUUCCUGGAUGAGAGGAAUGAUGACAGUCAAAAGAAGGGUCUCACUCUGUUGCCCAGGCUGGAGUGCAGUGGUACCAUCACAGUUCACUGCAGCCUCGACCUCCUGGACUCAAGAUCCUCCUUCCUCAGCCUAGCAAGUAGUUGGAACUACAGAUGCACGCCAUCACAUCUGGCUAAUUUUUUGUAAAGACUAGGUGUCACUAUGUUACUCUGGGCUUAAGUGAGCCUCCUGCUUUCAGCCUCCCAAAAUGUUUGGAUAACAGGUGUGAGCCACCACACUCAGCCUUGUUUUUUCUUAAUCUGAAAGAAUAAUCACAUUUGUUUGUCCAUAACACUGAUCGAUUCAGUAGUGAAGAGGGAAAUCUGAUAAUGCAAGACAGAAGCAAGUCUUAUUAUAGAGGGAUCUACUUAGGGACUGUGGGUGGGGAGGGAAAAGCUUCUUCAAGGAAAUAAUUUUUUCUUUUUUUAGACAAAGUUUCACUCUUUUGCCCAGGCUGGAUGCAGUGGUGCGACCUCAGCUCACUGCAACCUUCACCUACUGGGUUCAAGCGAUUCUCCCACCUCAGCCUCCCAAAAAGCGGGGAGUACAGACGUGUACCAUCACACCCAGCUAAUUUUUGUAUUUUUAAUAGAGACAGAGUUUAUCCAUGUUGGCCAGGCUGGUCUCGAACUCCUGGACUCAAGUGAUCCAGCCACCUCAGCCUCCCAAAGUGCUGGGAUUAUAGGUGUGAGCCACAGCACCUGGCCUCUGCCUCUUAUUUUAGAUUACUUAUGUCAACCACUUAACUCCAGUCUCUAUCAUAUCUCACACUUGGCUGAAUAGCCACCAUCAGCAUUAAUAGUUGUUACAGCUUUCUCAGCACCUGGACUCCUACUACCAAUGUUUCUACGAAUAAAAUGUCAGAAUGAAUCCAAGAACAAAUAGAUCUUAUGUUACCUCUGUCUCUAAAGGCUUUCUUGAUUGCUGUAUCCUCCAUGUGGUGGAUUGAUUGUUUCCCCUUUUUUGAUGCAGGAGCUUAUUUAAUUGUAACACCUGUAGCAUUGAAUUUCACUCAUUUGUCUGUUUCCUUUCUUCCUUUUUUUUUUUGAGACGGAGUCUCGCUCUGUCACCCAGGCUGGAGUGCAAUAGCAUGAUCUCGGCUCACUGCAAGCUCUGCCUCCUGGGUUCAUGCCAUUCUCCUGCCUCAGCCUCCCGAGUAGCUGGGACUACAGGCACCCACCACCACGCCAGGCUAAUUUUUUGUAUUUUCAGUAGAGACAGGGUUUCACCAUGUUAGCCAGGAUGGUCUCGAUCUCCUGACCUCGUGAUCCACCCAACUCGGCCUCCCAAAGUGCUGGGAUUACAGGUGUGAGCCACUGCACCCGGCCCCUUUUUUUCUUUUUUUAAUGUUAAACAGAUAAUGUGCCAAUGUCCUGAUGUUGUAACAAGGUUGUUUUUUGUUUGUUUGUUGUUGUUUUUGAGACAGAGACUUGCUCUGUUGCCCAGACUGGAGUGCAGUGACACAAUCUCUGCUCACUGCAACCUCAGUCUCCUGGGUUCAAGUGAUUCUUGUGCCUCAGCCUCCCAAGUAGCUGGGAUUGUGGGUGCAGGCCACCAUGGCUGGCUGAUUUUUGUAUUUUUAGUAGAGAUGGGUUUCGCUAUGUUGGCCAGGCUGGUCUCGAACUGCUGGCCUCAAGAAAUCCACCCAUCUUGGCCUCCCAAAGUGCUGGGAUUACAGAUGUGAGCCACCAUUGUAACAGGGUUUGAGGAAGGUAUUUCUCACAGAUGCAUGUGAAAACCCAAACUUCAUGCUUAUGAACUGCAAAAGGAUCACACUCAUUUCUUUUUAAGCUGUCUGCCCCUUCACGCUGAACCCCUCUUUAUGGGCAGGGACUACAUUUUUUUUCUCUGUGCUUAUCUGAGUGCCUAAUAAAAUAACUAGUAGAUAACACACCAACUAUAAACACUUAAAAGAUCUAUCUCUACUACUCUCUACUCUUAGUACCCAUCACCUCCAAUUCAUGGACACAGACAUUCAUUCACAGAGAUUUGGGGACCUGGUUCACAGUGUUUGUGUUCUACUUCAACUCCUACAUUAUUUUGGUAAGGUCAAUAUCCCCAUCAAUGGCUCAUUGAAUAUCCUUGCAUUUCGAUUCUCUGAUUCCAAGAAUGAGGAAGAUACCCUAAAUACUUUACAUCAAUACCAAUGUGUGGGUGUUAAUGCCUUAGAACUAUCCUUGAGAAAGUCCUAUAAUUAUGUUAUUAUAAUUAGAAUUUCAAUAUGAGUUUUUACCUAUUAAUGACAUUAAAACCAAAUAAAAAUAUAUUAUUUUUAGGUGAACCAUAAUUUAUUGUCCAAACCAGAACAAAUUUUACAAUCUCUGCCUCUUAGUUUGAUUGUUUAGUCCAUUUACAUUUAAUGGUUUUUGUUGGUGGUGGUGGUGUUUUGAGACAGGAUCUCGCUCUGUCACUCAGGCUAGAGUGCAGUGGCACAAUCAUAACUUACUGCACACUCGAAUUCCUAGGCUUAAGCAAUCCUCCCACCUCAACCUAGCUAAUUUUUAAAUUUUUUAUUCUUUGUAGAGACAAGGUCUUGGUAUGUUGACCAGGCUAAUUCUCAAACUCCUGGGCUCAAGCAGUCUUCCCACCUCAGCCUUCCAAAGGGCUGGAAUUACAGACAUGAGCCACUGUACCUGGCCCACAUUUAAUGUUAUUAUUGAUAUAUUUGAUUAUGCCAUUUUGCUAUUUGUUUUCUAUAUGUCUAACUUUUUUUGUUCCUCUGUUUCUUCUUUAACGUCUUUUUUUGUAUUAGGUGGAUAUUGUGGGAAAAUUUUUCCUAUCUCUUAGAAAGAAGCUUAAGGAAAAUGCAAUGCCUUUUCCUCUAUGGAAAUGGUUAUAGUAAUAGUCGCAGCCAUCCUUUGACUAUUUUUGCAUUUUUAGUAGAGACCUCAAGAGAGAGAAUCUUGAGGUUUAAGAAAGAUGAGAGGAGCCUGGAGUUUUUUAUGCCAUUAUGAAGGCUUUGAAUUAACCAAAUCUUGGGCCGUCCUACUUUCAAACAUUAUUAUUUGAGUAAGCAAUGUCAUUUUUAUGGAAGGCAGUUGAUUUGAAAUCUACAGAAGUAACUUAAAACACCCUAAAAGAUUUUUAAAAACAAAUGAAUAUACUUGUUUCAGAAACACACUAGCAAAGGAUAGCAUGGACCUGCACCUAAUGUAAUGUGUUGCUGACCAUUGAACUAACUAUCUAGACCUGCACUGUAUUAUAGUAGCCAUGAGCCACAUGUGAUUAUUGAGCACUUUGAAACGUGGCUAACCUGAAUUGAGAAGUUCUGUAAGUAUAAAACAAACACCACAUUCUGAAGACUUAGACAAGAACAGUA
rnacentral:lncRNA from 1 species